CACAGUUGUCUCACUUUCUCACUCAUAUUCACCAUUGACUUCAUCGAACUCAGAACCUCACACUACCAAUUUCCUUCUUUUCUCCAAAUUUAGGGUUAAGAUUUCUAAUGCAUCAUCACUUGUCUCAACCUUCUCUACAAAACCCUUGACCUUCUUAGUGAGGGAACCAAGAGACCACUACGUCUCGACAAGUCUACCACUGUGAGAUCUGGUACACACAAUCUCGAUUGCUUCCACAUCAAAGCUAUGGGUUUCAUUUUUCUUGAUACUUUAUUGGACUGUAAUGAAAAGACUAAAGAAUCUGGAACAGCAAAGGAAAAACAUGUCAGUGCACAAUAAUGCAUAUCUUUACCUGACCAACUAAAUGUGAAGGAUAUGUAAGUUGUGAAAUUUGUAGAAAAUGUUGAUAUAGAUGGACCUUCUACUCUGUGCUUCGAUCUAUUAAUUAAGCAUUUAGAUUGUUUCGGAUUUGGCUAAAUUGUUUGUGUGUAUGUCAGUUAUGUUGACUCUUGUAUUAGGUGUGUGCAGAGCAUAGUGCACGAACACAUUGGUGCCAUAUGAUUCUUCCGGUUAAGGAUCUUGUCAGCAGGUGCAUUAUUGUGCUUUUUUUAUUUUAUUUUCUAGUAGCAUGUGAUAAAUAAGUUUUGUUUUUUUAAUGAUAUGAUUCAAAUUCUUGUAAGUAAUUAAAAAAUUGUAAUUAAAUUUUUUAUUGAGACUAAUUGAUUGAACAAGUAUUUUCUUGUUAUACUAUGUUAAUAUUUGUAUUCUGAGAAGAAUUGAUGUUAUUUUUGCAGAAAUGUUAAGUUACAAAAUCA